GUGCCAGCCGCCGCGGUAAGACAGAGGCCACGAACGUUGUUCGGAAUCACUGGGCAUAAAGCGCACGUAGGCGGCUGGGUCCGUCUGAUGUGAAAGCCCCCGGCUCAACCGGGGAAUAGCAUCAGAUACAGCCCGGCUUGAGGACGGUUGGGGUGAGUGGAACUCCUGGUGGAGCGGUGAAAUGCGUAGAUAUCAGGAGGAACACCGGUGGCGAAAGCGGCUCACUGGACCGUAACUGACGCUGAGGUGCGAAAGCUAGGGGAGCAAACGGGAUUAGAUACCCUAGUAGUCC
rnacentral:rRNA from 1 species